UGAAAUUCCUGUAAAAUUCUUG
rnacentral:miRNA from 1 species